GUGCUUGCUUCUGCAGCACAUGUACUAAAAUUGGAACAAUAUAGAGAUUAGCAUGGAUACAGCACAAGGAUAACAACACACAUUUGUGAUGUGUUCCAUAUUUCU